GAUGAACGCUAGCUACCGGCUUAACACAUGCAAGUCGAGGGACCGGCGACCGGGUGAGUAACACGUAUCCGACCUGCCCUUUACUCGGGGAUAGCCUUUCGAAAGAAAGAUUAAUACCCGAUGUAAAGGAUGGGGAUGCGUUCCAUUAGGUUGUUGGUGAGGUAACGGCUCACCAAGCCUUCGAUGGAUAGGGGUUCUGAGAGGACGGCCCCCCAAAUUGGAACUGCGACACGGUCCACACUCCUACGGUGGGCAGCAGUGAGGAAUAUUGGGCAAUGGGCGUUAGCAUGACCCAGCCAAGUAGCGUGAAGAAUGAAGGGUUAUGGGUAGUAAACUUCUUUUAUAUAAGAAUAUGUAUUAUAUGAAUAAGGAUCGGCUAACUCCGUGCCAGCAGCCGCGGUAAUAC
rnacentral:rRNA from 1 species